GCAGCAGCAGGUGCGCCGGGAGACGAGCGAGGAGGACUCGACAAUGAUGAGCGAGUGGAGGCAGACAUGGUUGUUGUGAUAUAUUUGAGGAGUCGCUCUCCCUCUGUUUUAUAUGUGGACAUUUGGGACCACUGUUAGAAUUUGGUUGACCACUUGACAUGUGAGAGCCUGAGGAGUUGUUCCCCCUCUGUCCAUGUUCGAGGACUUGCUCUCUGUCUGCCUCCACUCUCUGACUUCACUGUACCAAAGUUUGUCUGUUGAGUCUCCUCUAGUCUGGUUGACCACUUGACAUGUGAGAGCCUGAGGAGUUGUUUUCCAGACACAGGUAGAG